GAUGAACGCUAGCGAUAGGCUUAACACAUGCAAGUCGAGGGGCAGCAUGGUCUUAGCUUGCUAAGACUGAUGGCGACCGGCGCACGGGUGCGUAACGCGUAUGCAACUUGCCUCACAGAGGGGGAUAACCCGUCGAAAGACGGACUAAUACCGCGUACACUCCAUCUUGGGCAUCCAAGGUAGAGGAAAUGAAAUUCGCUGUGAGAUAGGCAUGCGUCCCAUUAGCUAGUUGGUGAGGUAACGGCUCACCAAGGCGACGAUGGGUAGGGGAACUGAGAGGUUGAACCCCCCAACUGGAACUGAGACACGGGACCAACUACUACGGGGGGAAGCAGGGGAGAAAAUUGGUCAAGGGGGGAAGACCUGAACCAGCAAAGUCGGGUGAAGGAUGACUUUCUUAUUGAUUGUAAACUUCUUUUAUACGGGAAUAACAAGAGUAACGUGUGAACCCCUGGAUGUACCGUAUGAAAAAGUAGCGGCAAACCCCGG
rnacentral:rRNA from 1 species